rnacentral:rRNA from 1 species
CCUACGGGAGGCAGCAGUGGGGAAUUUUGGACAAUGGGCGCAAGCCUGAUCCAGCAAUGCCGCGUGCAGGAUGAAGGCCUUCGGGUUGUAAACUGCUUUUGUACGGAACGAAACGGUGAGCUCUAAUACAGUUUGCUAAUGACGGUACCGUAAGAAUAAGCACCGGCUAACUACGUGCCAGCAGCCGCGGUAAUACGUAGGGUGCGAGCGUUAAUCGGAAUUACUGGGCGUAAAGCGUGCGCAGGCGGUGAUGUAAGACAGAUGUGAAAUGCCCGGGCUCAACCUGGGACCUGCAUUUGUGACUGCAUCGCUAGAGUACGGUAGAGGGGGAUGGAAUUCCGCGUGUAGCAGUGAAAUGCGUAGAUAUGCGGAGGAACACCGAUGGCGAAGGCAAUCCCCUGGACCUGUACUGACGCUCAUGCACGAAAGCGUGGGGAGCAAACAGGAUUAGAUACCCUGGUAGUCCACGCCCUAAACGAUGUCAACUGGUUGUUGGGUCUUCACUGACUCAGUAACGAAGCUAACGCGUGAAGUUGACCGCCUGGGGAGUACGGCCGCAAGGUUGAAACUCAAAUGAAUUGACGGCGNGAGAGNGCGAGGACGACACGAGGGGAGGAGG